rnacentral:rRNA from 1 species
UAAACCGUGGCUCAGUUCAGAUCGUAGGCUGCAACUCGCCUACGUGAAGGAGGAGUCGCUAGUAAUCGCAGGUCAGCAUACUGCGGUGAAUACGUUCCCGGGCCUUGUACACACCGCCCGUCACACCAUGGAAGUUGGCCACGCCCGAAGCCGUUACUCCAACCCUUGUGGAGGAGGACGUCGAAGGUGGGGCUGAUGACUGGGGUGAAGUCGUAACAAGGUAUCCGUACCGGAAGGUGCGGAUGGAUCACCUCCUAACA